UUCAUGAAGCUGGAAUUGCUGUAAUGGCAGGUCAGCAUACUGCCGUGAAUACGUUCCCGGGCCUUGUACACACCGCCCGUCACACCAUGAGAGUUGGAAAUACCCGAAGCCUGUGAGCUAACAGUAAUGAGGCAGCAGUCGAAGGUAGAGCCAAUGAUUGGGGUGAAGUCGUAACAAGGUACC
rnacentral:rRNA from 1 species